UCCGUAGGGACCGAGCGUUGUCCGGAAUCAUUGGGCGUAAAGAGCGUGUAGGCGGCCCCUUAAGUCCUGCGUGAAAUCCUGCGGCUCAACCGCAGACGGUCGUGGGAAACUGGAGGGCUAGAGUGCGGGAGAGGAGAGUGGAAUUCCUGGUGUAGCGGUGAAAUGCGCAGAUAUCAGGAAGAACACGCGUGGCGAAAGCGGCUCUCUGGGACGGUACUGACGCUGAGGUGCGAAAGCGUGGGGAGCAAACAGG
rnacentral:rRNA from 1 species